CCGAGCACGGAGCACCCCCACGGACGACCACUGUCGCCGAGCGACUCCACCGCAGAACUCCUCCCCAAGCAGGCCUCCUCCCUCCACCUGAGCAGGCGAGCACCGAGCGGGAUUGCCUCCUCGACGUCCUCUCCAAUCCCCCAAGCAGCGGAGCGUCCCUCUUCUCCCGUGACCAGCUCACUACCACAUCAACAUCCUCUGUCUGCCUCCUCUGCCCCAUCAAGAGCAUUUGGAAAAAGAAUGGAACAAGAAAGAUACUAAGACAAUGUUGAAGAACGAGAGGAAGAAUGGAACAAGAAAGAGACUAAGACAAUGUUCAAGAACGAGAGGAAGAGAGGCUAGCGAGAAUUAGAACCAUAAACGGCGAGGAUUUUGAACGGUUUGGCCGCCUUACAUUUUCAAAUAUAAAUGAAGAAUUUGGAGCCCAGCUAGUCAGCGACAAACUAAAAGGAAGAAGAAGACAAUCAAAUGGUCAUCAAUUCUGUUCGCUUCACUUCGGUACAGGAAUAGCCUCACUUCUGCUGUACAAGAUAGAUUUCCCAAAGGUGCACAAGUUCACUAAGGUUUGGAAGAUUUUCAAGUUGAUGAAGAUUUGGAAGACCUACAAUGUCAUGCGUCUUGUUUGUUGAACCUAGACAUUUGCUCUGCUCAUUUUGGUGGUGGUUUGGCUGUGUGGCACACAUCUAGAAGCAUAUGUACAUCUUUUGUGGCACUACUUUAGUUUGGUUGUGGGGUAAACAUAUAUAUGUACUCCUUUCGUGGCACAACCUCUGUAUAUAUU